UGGGGUAUCGUCUAAAGGUAGGACAGCAGAUUCUGGAUCUGUUUAUCGUGGUUCGAAUCCAUGUACCCCAGCCA
rnacentral:tRNA from 1 species